UCCUGGAUAGCUCAGUCAGUAGAGCACGAGACUCUUAAUCUCCGGGUUGUGGGUUCAAGCCCCAUGUGGGGCA